GCACUUUUUUUCCUACUUUAAACUUGACGUUUAAAAAAUAAUCCAUUUGAAGUGUUACUGAAGGAGUAGGCAGGCAGUGCAGUACUGUAUAAUAAAUUAAUAAGUAAUGGAAAAGUUGACACCCCCCUCCGACUCAAGAGAAAAGAACACGUACAAAGGCCGACUCUAUUUUAAACAUUAUUUAAUGUAUAGUAUUUAUCAGCUGUCUUACUUUUCGAUGCUGUCAAUUUUACUAUACUUAUGCCCAUGGAUCAAUCAUCAUCCGUGAUAUGAGGGUAAGGUGGACAUUGUUUCAUUUGGAUAUUUCUUCGAAAUGGAGCCAUGCCGACAUACUAUAAAUUAUAACUCAAUACUUUAUGAGAGAUAAAACAUUGGACUAACAUGACAACUAAUAUGCUAUUCCGUCAAAAAACCAUGGAAAUAAGUACUUAAGGAAGUGAUGUUUGUAAAAUACUAAGGAUUAAAAUUGCAUUUUCAACGAAUAAUUAAUUAAAAAUGGACUUUAAGACACAUAAAACAUUGGAUUAACAUGAUACAUGAUUUAAAAUAAAUCAAAUAAUGACCAAAGCCCUGAAAAACAAUGCAGCGCGACUAAUCUAAAAAAAAACUACACUACGAAGGUGCUGAGUUAUUUGAAGGAAGCAUCAUAUUUGGAGACAUUGGAGGUUGCGUUGUUGGAGUAGUUGGAGCUUGUACGACAGAAGAAACGGUGGUAGAUGGAGUUGAAACAAUUGUACUUUCGUUAUUUGAUCUUGUAGGGGAUAAUAAUUGGGCCUUGUCCCUUUCCCUUUCUUGGCCCGGUCUAAAGGAUUCUCUCAGAGCUUCUAUUCUAUCCUCUGUAGGUCCCCAUCUUUGGAAUCCGGCGUCGUUUUGAAGCCAUACCAUGAGUGUACUAUUUUCAGAUCUAAUGUUUACGUCCGCUCUAGGGGAGAGAACACAAAUGUUAAUGUUUGGAAUGAAAUUGAAUAAGGAUAUGACGUUAAGGACUUUACUUGGGCAAAGAAUGUUGAAAUCCAUGUCUAUAUUCAUGUUCUAAGGCAGGGAUGAUAAUCUGCCUCCUUUUCCAACGGGAUGAUUCAAGCUUUAUAAGUGCUUGUGGUGGUGGAUCUCGCCAUUCCGGCAAGAAAACAAUAAAUGAAAGAGGUUCUAAAGAUUCUUCGAGUAAGCGGUCAAAAUGGUUGAAAGUAGUGUCCAAAAGUUCUUCGCAAAAGGGAGGAUUUGCUUCGAAAGACCCACAGAGUGGCUUAAAAUCCAUGACAGGGCUAAAAAUACAUUUAUAACACGAAUUAAAAUAGAGGUAAAUAUGACUACAAUAUACAGAAAUUACCCUCUAGAUCCAAAAUAUGAAUCAAUAUCCGGAAACGCAGAGCAAUACUGUCGAAAAUAACAAUUUAAAGGUGAUGCAAAACACUCAAAAGUUACACCAAAUUGUUUAUUUAAACACUCUAACACUGUUAUAGGAAUAGCUCCUUGAUUUUGAGCUCCCUCUCCUUGAUUAGUGCCAAAAUAUGAAUUAUAGCGCUUAAGUAACAUCCACACACGAACUAAAAAGUAUUCAAAUUUUCUGUCAUCAGCACAACCAUAUCGAUACAGUUGUUCCUGAAAAAAAAAUGUGCAAGGAAAAAGUAUAAAUUUUAUAGACAAUAUAUAGGCCCUUAAAAGAACAGUAAGGAAAAUGUUCUUACCAAUUUGUUAAAGUGUGAAUUAUUAAUUCCUAAAGAAUCAUUUUUAUAUCUAAGUACUGUUUGCUCUCGAUCUUGAAAGAAAUCAACUUGAGGAAGUCUGGGGCAGGGAAGAGCAAACUGAACGGGGUAACACCAUACUUUAUGUUCAUUUGGGACGCUUGUUUUGAUGCCAUGCUCUAAAAAAAUGAAUUAAAUUAAUUAGUAACAAAAA
rnacentral:lncRNA from 1 species